UACGGAGAGUGCAAACGUUGUUCGGAUUCACUGGGCGUAAAGGGCACGUAGGCGGCUUGGCAAGUCGGUCGUGGAAUCCCGACGCUUACCGUCGGAACGGCGGCCGAAAAUACCGAGCUCGAGGGCGUGAGGGGUCACUGGAACUCCUGGUGAAGCGGUGAAAUGCGUAGAUAUCAGGAGGAACGCCGGAGGCGAAAGCGAGUGACUGGCGCGUUCCUGACGCUGAGGUGCGAAAGCUAGGGGAGCAAACAGG
rnacentral:rRNA from 1 species